GAUGAACGCUGGCGGCGUGCCUAAUACAUGCAAGUCGAGCGAACAGACAAGGAGCUUGCUCCUUUGACGUUAGCGGCGGACGGGUGAGUAACACGUGGGUAACCUACCUAUAAGACUGGGAUAACUUCGGGAAACCGGAGCUAAUACCGGAUAAUAUUUCGAAUCGCAUGGUUCGAUAGUGAAAGAUGGAUCUGCUAUCACUUAUAGAUGGACCUGCGCCGUAUUAGCUAGUUGGUAAGGUAACGGCUUACCAAGGCAACGAUACGUAGCCGACCUGAGAGGGUGAUCGGCCACACUGGAACUGAGACACGGUCCAGACUCCUACGGGAGGCAGCAGUAGGGAAUCUUCCGCAAUGGGCGAAAGCCUGACGGAGCAACGCCGCGUGAGUGAUGAAGGUCUUCGGAUUGUAAAACUCUGUUAUUAGGGAAGAACAAACGUGUAAGUAACUGUGCACGUCUUGACGGUACCUAAUCAGAAAGCCACGGCUAACUACGUGCCAGCCGCCGCUGUAA
rnacentral:rRNA from 1 species